UACGUAGGGAGCAAGCGUUGUCCGGAAUCAUUGGGCGUAAAGAGCUUGUAGGCGGUUUGUCGCGUCUGCUGUGAAAAUCCGGGGCUCAACCCCGGACUUGCAGUGGGUACGGGCAGACUGGAGUGUGGUAGGGGAGACUGGAAUUCCUGGUGUAGCGGUGGAAUGCGCAGAUAUCAGGAGGAACACCGAUGGCGAAGGCAGGUCUCUGGGCCACUACUGACGCUGAGAAGCGAAAGCAUGGGGAGCGAACAGG
rnacentral:rRNA from 1 species